UACGUAGGGGGCAAGCGUUGUCCGGAAUUAUUGGGCGUAAAGCGCGCGCAGGCGGCCUGUUCAGUCGGAUGUGAAAGACCACGGCUCAACCGUGGGGUGGCAUCCGAAACUGGCGGGCUUGAGUACAGGAGAGGAGAGUGGAAUUCCCAGUGUAGCGGUGGAAUGCGUAGAGAUCGGGAGGAACACCAGUGGCGAAGGCGGCUCUCUGGCCUGUAACUGACGCUGAGGCGCGAAAGCGUGGGGAGCAAACAGG
rnacentral:rRNA from 1 species